rnacentral:tRNA from 1 species
GGUUGUUUAGUUAUGUAAGAUUAUUUUUAUUUUGAAGGCAGGAGCCUGCUUGCUUUUCAAACAUGAGGACCUGGGUUCAAAUCCCAGAACUGCCA